GAUGAACGCUGGCUACGGGCUUAACACAUGCAAGUCGAGGGGACACGCGAUCGGCAGCUUGCUUUUGUUGGACGUCGACCGGCGCACGGAAGAGUAGCACAUCUCACAUCUGCGACCCACUUGGGGUUAACAUUCCGAAAGUAAUACUGAUACACAUUGUCGUCUCUAGAGUUCAUCUGUAAGAGAUGGUCGUUUUAUCGGUGAUGGAUGGAUACGCGUUGCAUUAGCUUGUUGGCAAGGUAACGGCUUACCAAGGCAACGAUGCAUAGCGGACCUGAGAGGGUGAUCGGCCCCACUAGAACUGAGACACGGUCCAGACUCCAACGGGAGGCAGCAGAAGGGAAUCUACCGCAAUGGGCGAAAGCCUGACGGAGCAACGCCGAGUGAGUGAUGAAGGUCUUCGGAUCGUAAAACUAUGUUAUUAGGGAAGAACAUAUGUGUAAGUAACUGUGCACAUCUUGACGGUACCUAAUCAGAAAGCCACGGCUAACUACGUG
rnacentral:rRNA from 1 species